UACGUAGGGUGCAAGCGUUACUCGGAAUUACUGGGCGUAAAGCGUGCGCAGGCGGUUUUGUAAGUCUGUCGUGAAAUCCCCGGGCUUAACCUGGGAAUGGCGAUGGUGACUGCAAGGCUAGAGUUUGGCAGAGGGGGGUAGAAUUCCACGUGUAGCAGUGAAAUGCGUAGAUAUGUGGAGGAACACCGAUGGCGAAGGCAGCCCCCUGGGUCAAAACUGACGCUCAUGCACGAAAGCGUGGGGAGCAAACAGG
rnacentral:rRNA from 1 species